rnacentral:rRNA from 1 species
UACGGGGGGAGCAAGCGUUGUUCGGAUUUACUGGGCGUAAAGGGCGCGUAGGCGGCCACCGCAAGUCGGUUGUGAAAUCUCCGGGCUUAACCCGGAAAGGUCAAUCGAUACUGCGGGGCUAGAGUGCAGAAGGGGCAACUGGAAUUCUCGGUGUAGCGGUGAAAUGCGUAGAUAUUGGAAAGAACACCGAUGGCGAAGGCACUCUACUGGGCUAUUACUGACACUCAGAGACGAAAGCUAGGGGAGCAAAUGGG